GUGUAUUUUUCAAAACUAUGAAUCUUCAAUGGUGGGAACGGAUCAGUCACAACAUAUUUGAGUUUCAACUCAAAAACGAUCGUGUCCACACCUAAUUGAGAAGCAGUAGUAUUAAUCAAGUCUUGGUAAUUGGUGUCCACAUCAUAUCACUCCUUCAAUCUUGAAAUUCAGAUACUUUCCUGCGACAUUACAAAUAUUUGUUAGUCAAAAUUCAAAAAAAAUUGGUGGCAGAUAACAAAAAUACUCAUUAACAACAUACGUCUAAUACACCAAUAUAAAUUGGACCAAAAAAUGUCAGUUCGUAGCAACAAAUAUACCAUCAUAUGUACCAUAUCACAUACCAAUCCAAUUUUUCAAAUUGAUACAUACAUCAGGCUAUUAGUUUGGUGUCAGUUCGUAGCAACAAAUAUACCAUCAUAUGUACCAUAUCACAUACCAAUCCAAUUUUUCAAAUUGAUACAUACAUCAGGCUAUUAGUUUGGUGUCAGUUCGUAGCAACAAAUAUACCAUCAUAUGUACCAGAUCACAUACCAAUUCAAAAAUUUCAAUUUUAUAUUUUAUUAG
rnacentral:lncRNA from 1 species